AUGAACCCCGGGAUCCGCCCUCCUCUCCUGGAAACCCGGAAUUCCGUCCGGACGUUCCUCAAAUCCGCCUCCUCCUGGAGUUUUUUCCAGCUGGAAAUCCCACCAAAAGUAAAAUCCCGGGAAUUCCGCUUUUCCAUCCCCCCCCCUCCCCCCCCAACACAGCAUUCCAGGAAUUCCAUAAAAAAACCAACAAACAAAACAAAACAAAACAAAAAAAAUCGGGAAAAAUGGAGGCAGAGCCAAAGUUCUGGAUUGAAUUCCAGUCCCAAAUUCCGGGAAUUCCGAUGGGAGCCACGUCCUGCUCCUCCUGAGCUUCUGGUGGAAUUUUGGCCUUUCCCAGGCUGGAAUUCCGAAGGUGGAUCCGGGAUUUCCCGGGAAAAGGAAGGAACCUUCCCAGAGUCAGAGCCGGGAAUUGGGUUUGGGAAUCUCCUGGAAAUAUCCCAGUGGAAUUCCCAGAGGAAGAAGGGGCGGGACUCCCGUGGGAAGGGGCUCCCCGUGGAAAAGCAGCUGGAAUUUUGGGAUCAUCUCCUCCUUGGCCGAGGUUCUCCAGGAAUGUCGAGGCUCCGGGUGUGCUCCUCUGGGAAGGGGCUGCGCAUUCCCGGAAUUCGGCUCCUCCCGAAUUCCAGCCGGGAUUCCCCCAAUUCCAGCCCGGAUCCCCCAAUUCCAGCCGGGAUUCUCCCGGACCCAGAGCCGGACCCGGAGCCGCUCCCGGCUCCAUUCCCUGGGAAUUCCCAGGAAAAAUUGGGAUUUAAGGAUCCACAGGGUGGGGGAAAAAAAAAAUCCUCAAGCCCCCGAAAAAAAUCCCGGGAUGCAAAUUCCCAGGGAUGGGCUCCAGCCAUGAUGGGAGCCCGGGAAGGGGUUGGGAAUUCUCUGGAAAAACGGGAAAGGCCUCACAAGUCGUGGUUGGGUUGGGAAUAUCCAAAGGAUUCCUGGGAAUUUCUCCAGGGGGAAGGGAGGGGGAAAAAAAAUUCCUGGAAUUUUACAGGGAGGGGAUGUGGGGAAUCUUGGGGAAAAAAAAGGGGUUUUGGGAAGGGAGGAGAUCCCGAAAAAAGUGGAAUUUUGGGGGGGAAAAGAUUGUAA
ensembl:lncRNA